AAUUCUCAAUUCCUUCAAAUUUAUUUUUGAAGGGCAUUUGGAUAAUGGAAGUUUUGCAGGCUUCUUUUUCAUAGUCUGCUCUUCUUAAAUGCAUUAGCAAGGACUUUGUUUGACCUUGGUUUUGAUAAUUCAUCUAUGCCAAUGGUUUCAAGUCAAGUUGUUUUGCUGCAAACACUUUAUAUC
rnacentral:misc_RNA from 1 species